UGGGAGAGUCACCCUGUACCACCAGUGUGCCAGGAACGUGAAAGUGAGGUGCGCUCCCCUCCUGGGAGCAGAGUGUCCACAGAGAUUCUCUGGAAUUCUUCUGCAUGGGAGAUUUAUCUCUAAUCCUCCAUUUAUGUAUCCCAGCGUGGACUCACGGGGGUACGGCGUGACUUCAGCAUGACAGUUCUCAGGCCAUCAGCACCCCCUGUUCUCGCUCUGAGCCACUUGCCAUCACCUCGCGUUGGGGGCAUUCGUUCCAACAUUCCAUCGGGGGCAAGCCUAGGUACGUUAUUUUCCUGUGUGUAGUGCACCUCCAAACCCCAGCAUGCGGUUUACAUCGCCAGCACAUGUCAACAUGGGCGAGCCACGCUUCGCUGCUCAUGGCUCGCACGCCGCACUGCACAGUACCCUGCCCGACACCAGGACGCAGCAGGGACCAGAACGGACGCGCUCUCCGCCCCCACGCGGCUGACAGCCUAGUGUGGGAGACAGAUAAUAAGGAAGCAAGUGGUUUUGGAGAGGAAGCGGCUUGAGAAUGCCCAGGUCGUCAGUAAAGCCCUCUGGGGCUCGGACCCGAAGGAGGGGACGCUGACCAUGGGGCGUCACUACCUGUGUCCAUACUUGCCGCCAAAUAAUGCUGUUAAACGAACCACUCCCAAAUUCCGAGGCAUCGCACAGCUAGUGACUCCGCUCGUGAGCCCACGGGCAGGGGACAGUCCUCUGGCCCCAGGUGGGCUCCUGUGUGCAUCUCUGGGCGGCAGCAGGUCAGGCUGCCAACGAGUGGGAUGACCUGGGCUCCAUUCCAUGUGUCUUCUCACCCUCCAGCAGGCUAGCCUGAGCCUGUCUUCUGCGGAGGCAGGAGUCCAAAAGGGGACAUGAAAGGGCUUGAGGUUUCCCAAGGCUCAGGCUGAGAACCACAUCGCUCUGCCACAUUCUCCUGGCCAAGGUGGGUCCCCAGGCCAGCCGAGGCUUUGGCGGAGAUGCUGGUCACACCACACAAGGUGCAGACACAGGGAGGGUGGGGCAGGCAGGUGGGUCUGUGCAGCUCACCUCCCGUAUUACUCUGAAAAACCUCUCCAUUGUUAUAGGAAACCGUAACGGUUCUAAACUUCUGUGUGUCCCGUAAAGAACCUCCAAGUACAAAAAUUAAAAAGAAAAAAAAAAACCUACAGGGAAAAAUGAGCAAAAUUACUCUUAUAGUGGAAGAUUUCCACAUCUUUUGUAAGCAGACAAAAAAAUGGUAAAGGUAUAGAAGACCUGAACGCAAUAUAAACCCAACUUGGUGCAGGUGUUUAUGUGGCCGAGGAUACUGACAGCCCACUCUGUGUUCGAGGCACUUUUCGAGGUGGCUGAGGACAGGGUGGUGAGGAAAGUCAGCCGCCCCUGUCCUGCCGAGUCUCUGUUCUCCCAGAAGACGUCCACAGUAAAUGACUUCACGCAGUUUAGUCCCCAAAGGAUGUCACCACCUUCAGAGAAUGGAUUCCAAUUAUCCUGGAAAACAAGACGACCCUGAAGACCCUGAAGACCUGUGACACUGCAUGGUCUCCAGACGACCCUGAAGAAUUGUAACACCACGUUGUCUCUGGACAACCCUGAAGAGUUGUGACA